rnacentral:rRNA from 15 species
AGGUCUCCAAGGUGAACAGCCUCUGGUUGAUAGAAUAAUGUGGAUAAGGGAAGUCGGCAAAACAGAUCCGUAACUUCGGGAAAAGGAUUGGCUCUAAGGGUUGGGUACGUCGGGCCUUGGCUGGAAGCCGCAGGACUCGGCUGGGACUGUUUGGGCAACCGGAC